rnacentral:sRNA from 2 species
AAAUAUCCUCGUUAGGUGAGGCUCCUGUGUUGGAGAUAUGCUACUGCCCAAAAAUGUCGAAAGACGCCAAUGGGUCAACAGAAACCAUCGACAUAAGGUGGUUUUUAAUGUAGCUGGGCUUUUGCCCUAUGCCACACAGUGCUAAAGCUCUACGAAUGGAGGAACAGA